AACGGCCAUACCAUGCUGAAUAUACCGGUUCUCGUUAGAUCACCGAAGUCAAGCAUCAUUGGGCGCGGUCAGUACUUGGGUGGGUGACCACCUGGGAACACCGCGUGA
rnacentral:rRNA from 1 species